GUUUUAAUAGUUUAAAUAAAACCUUGGUCUUGUAAACCAAUAAUGAGAUAAGUCUCUUAAAACUU
rnacentral:tRNA from 1 species